rnacentral:rRNA from 1 species
AUGACCCAGGUCCGCUUCUUUUGGGCAGGCGAGGGUGAUAAGCAGAAAUACCACAUGGUCCACUGGCGUGAGAUUUGCAAGCCGGGGGACCAAGGUGGCCUCGGCAUCAUGUCCUCCAAACGCAUGAACAUUGCCCUCUUGACUCGAUGGCUAUGGCGGAUCGCCAACGGUGAGGGCGGUCUCUGGCUGCAGAUUAUCCGAAACAAAUACCUCCGCGGACAGCCUCUCGCUUUUUGCCAGAGGACAGGUGGCUCCCAGUUCUUGCGGUCCCUCAUCCAGGUUCUCCCGGUCCUCCGGAUUGGGACCUCCAUUGACGUUGGAUCGAGAUCGUCCAUGCUUUUCUGGUUCGAUAGGUGGGCGGGUGAAUCCCCCCUUUGCGACGCACUUUCCGAGCGUGUUCGCUAUCGCAGUGGACCCUUGGGUCUCAAUGGAGUGUCUCGCGUUUCGGUGACCAUUUGGGCCCGCUGA